ensembl:miRNA MIR301B microRNA 301b
CCUCCUGCUGGCCGCAGGUGCUGUGACGAUGUUGCACUACUGUGCUCUGAGAAGCAGUGCAAUGAUAUUGUCAAAGCAUCUGGGACUAGCCUUGGGG